rnacentral:rRNA from 1 species
UACAGAGGUCUCAAGCGUUGUUCGGAUUCAUUGGGCGUAAAGGGCGCGCAGGCGGCGGACCAAGUCAGGCGUGAAAGCCCCGGGCUUAACCUGGGAGGUGCGUCUGGGACUGGUACGCUAGAGUUCGGGAGAGGAGAGUGGAAUUCCCAGUGUAGAGGUGAAAUUCGUAGAUAUUGGGAAGAACACCUGUGGCGAAGGCGGCUCUCUGGACCGAGACUGACGCUGAGGCGCGAAAGCGUGGGGAGCAAACAGG